rnacentral:rRNA from 1 species
GCAUAUCAAUAAGCGGAGGAAAAGAAAAUAACAAUGAUUCCCUUAGUAACUGCGAGUGAAGAGGGACAAGCUCAAAUUUUAAAUCUGUUAGGUUUACCUAACCGAGUUGUAAUUUGAAGAGGCGUUUUCUGCGCAGUUUGGACAGCCCAAGUCCUAUUGAAUGAGGCAUCAUGGAGGGUGAUAAUCCCGUCCGGCUGAUCAUUGCGUUUUACGAUGCGCUUUCUAAGAGUCAAGUUGUUUGGGAUUGCAGCUUAAAAUGGGAGGUAAAUUUCUCCUAAGGCUAAAUAUUGGCGAGAGACCGAUAGCGAACAAGUACCGUGAGGGAAAGAUGAAAAGUACUUUGAAAAGAGAGUUAAAUAGCACGUGAAAUUGUUGGAAGGGAAACGAUUGAAGCCAGUCGUACCUGCGGACAAUCAGCCUUUCGGGUGCGAUUCUGUGGAGCGUGAGGAGUUAAACGCCUUCAUGCCUGCAUAUUCGUGCACUUUGGGUGUACUUGCCCGUGUGGUAGGUUAACAUCAAUUUCGGAUAUCAUAAAAUGGCUGGAGGAAUGUAGCUUCGGUCUCGUACUGAAGUGUUAUAGCCUCUGGUAGAUGUGAUGACCGGGAUUGAGGAUUGCAACGAAUACCUUUUGGGCUACCCGCCUGAUCUCUGAAAGUUGCUCUGGUGCCGAAAGCUUGCUUACGGUCAUUAAAGUUGACGUUCAAAAGGUUAGAACGGGUUAAAUUCGUUAAGGAUGUUGACGUAAUGGCUUUAAACGACCCGUCUUGAAACACGGACCA